rnacentral:rRNA from 1 species
AGAGUUUGAUCAUGGCUCAGGAUGAACGCUAGCGGCAGGCCUAACACAUGCAAGUCGAACGGUAACAGGAAAUAGCUUGCUAUUUUGCUGACGAGUGGCGCACGGGUGCGUAACGCGUAUACAAUCUGCCUUUAAGCGGGAAAUAGCCCAUGGAAACGUGGAUUAAUGUCCCAUAGUAUGGAGACUUCACCUGGAGACUUCAUUAAACAUUUAUGGCUUAAAGAUGAGUAUGCGUCCUAUUAGUUAGUUGGUAAGGUAACGGCUUACCAAGACCGCGAUAGGUAGGGGUCCUGAGAGGGAGAUCCCCCACACUGGUACUGAGACACGGACCAGACUCCUACGGGAGGCAGCAGUGAGGAAUAUUGGACAAUGGAGGCAACUCUGAUCCAGCCAUGCCGCGUGCAGGAAGACGGCCCUAUGGGUUGUAAACUGCUUUUAUACGGGAAGAACCACAUCUACGUGUAGAUGCUUGACGGUACCGUAUGAAUAAGGACCGGCUAACUCCGUGCCAGCAGCCGCGGUAAUACGGAGGGUCCAAGCGUUAUCCGGAAAUCAUUGGGGUUUAAAGGGUCCGUAGGCGGGAUAAUAAGUCAGUGGUGAAAGUCUGCAGCUCAACUGUAGAAUUGCCAUUGAUACUGUUGUUCUUGAAUUAUUAUGAAGUGGUUGGAAUGAGUAGUCGUAGCGGUGAAAUGCAUAGAUAUUACUCAGAACACCUAUUGCGAAGGCAGAUCACUAAUAAUAUAUUGACGCUGAGGGACGAAAGCGUAGGUAGCGAACAGGAUUAGAUACCCUGGUAGUCUACGCCGUAAACGAUGGUUACUAGCUGUCCGGCCUAAUUGAGGGCUGGGUGGUUAAGCGAAAGUGAUAAGUAACCCACCUGGGGAGUACCGUUCGCAAGAAUGAAACUCAAAGGAAUUGACGGGGGCCCGCACAAGCGGUGGAGCAUGUGGUUUAAUUCGAUGAUACGCGAGGAACCUUACCAGGGCUUAAAUGCAGUUGGACAGGCCUGGAAACAAGACCCYUCUUCGGACUAAUGCAAGGUGCUGCAUGGUUUG